GUUUGAUCCUGGCUCAGGGCGAAUGCUAGCGGCGCGCCUAACACAUGCAAGUCGAGCGGUAGUAUUUUCUAGCUUGCUAGUUAAAUUGAGAGCGGCGAACGGGUGAGUAACAUGUUGAUAUUUGCCCCCAAGUCAGGGAUAGCUCAUCGAAAGAUGAAUUAAUACCGGAUAGUCUCUUCGGAGUAAAGAUUUAUCGCUUGGGGAGAAGUCUACAUUCUAUCAGCUUGUUGGUAAGGUAAUGGCUUACCAAGGCUAUGACGGAUAGUUGGUCUGAGAGGAUGAUCAACCACAAUGGAACUGAGACACGGUCCAUACUCCUACGGGAGGCAGCAGUGAGGAAUCUUCCACAAUGGGCGAAAGCCUGAUGGAGUGACACCGCGUGAAGGAUGACGGUUUAACGAUUGUAAACUUCUUUUCUGAAGGAGCAUAAUGAGAGUACUUUAGGAAUAAGGGACGGCUAAUUACGUGCCAGCAGCCGCGGUAAUACGUAAGUCCCGAGCAUUACCCGAAAUCACUGGGUGUAAAGGGUUCGUAGGCGGACCUAAAAGUUGGAUAUUAAAGACCGAAGCUCAACUUCGUGUUUGUAUUCAAAACUAUAGGUCUAGAAUCAGGGAGAGGUAAGCGGAAUUUUGAGUGUAGGGGUGUAAUCCGUAGAUACUCAAAGGAACACCAAAAGCGAAGGCAGCUUACUGGAACUCGAUUGACGCUCUGGAACGAAAGCGUGGGUAGCGAAAAGGAUUAGAUACCCUUGUAGUCCACGCCCUAAACGAUGAUAACUAAGUGUUGCAAUUUAUUGCAGUGCUGUAGCUAACGCGUUAAGUUAUCCACCUGAGGAGUACGGUCGCAAGAUUAAAACUCAAAGGAAUAGACGGGGACCCACACAAGCAGUGGAUCACGUGGUUUAAUUCGAUAGUAAACGAGGAACCUUACCCAGACUUGACAUCUACCGAAUCUUUUAGAGAUAGAAGAGUGCCUUUAUUAGAACCUAGUGACAGGUGCUGCAUGGUUGUCGUCAGCUCGUGCCUUGAGGUGUUCGGUUAAGUCCGUUAACGAGCGCAACCCAUGUCUUUAGUUAUUAUGUCUAAAGAGACUGCCUAUGUUAAAUAGGAGGAAGGUGUGGAUGACGUCAAAUCAGCAUGGCUUUUACGUCUGGGGCUACACACAUGAUACAAUGGUCUGUACAAAGAGCAGCGAUACCGUAAGGUGGAGCCAAUCUCAUAAAGCAGAUCUAAGUCCGGAUUGAGGUCUGCAACUCGACCUCAUGAAGUUGGAAUUGCUAGUAAUCGUGAAUCAGAUAUGUCACGGUGAAUGUGUUCCUGGGUCUUGUACUCACCGCCCGUCAUGGCAUGGAAGGAAGUAAUAUCGGAAGUCCCCCUAGUAAUAUGGGGGCCCAUGGUAGGACUUCUGACUGGGCUAAAGUCGUAACAAGGUAGCCG
rnacentral:rRNA from 1 species